rnacentral:misc_RNA from 1 species
UAAACUUGAAAAUGUACUUGUGUAGACGGGAAUGGCAAAAUUGCUUCAGCAAAAUGUCGAUGCAGGCAAAGUUGUUUUCGCGAAUAUUUAACAAGCUUGGGAUUAGCCUGGUAAUUGUUGUUACUUAAACCCGGUCAUCGGCGAAAAAUUGCACCGUGUUACGAAACAGUACCAGAGCAAUUGCGCAUCACGGGAAAUGACUCAUCGGACGAGUCGAAACAUGUCCAGGGGGCUUCGACGCGCUGACGCAUGCCCAGAAAUAGACCGAUAACUCAGGGGAAUUUUCAAACGAUUCGCGGAACCAACGAUGAGUUUAGCCAAUGAGGAGCGAGGCAUAAACCACACUCUGAAACCGUGAUUAGAUAUGCCGGGAGUAUAAGAGCCGAGUGCUUCUCGGUGAUGAGCAGUGCUACGUGAACCGUCAUUCAGUCAACUAGCGAAGCAUGUAUCCCCACCACCCACCGCACGGCCCACCACCCCCGGGUCCACCUCACCAUGGGCCCCCGCAUCACCCACAUGGACCACCGCCACCACCACACCAUGGUCCACCACCGCCUCACUACGGCCCACCGCCGCCUCACCAUGGCCCUCCUCCGCCGCAUCAUGGUCCCCCACCACCACCUCAUGGACCACCCCAUCAUCAUCACCCACCCCAUUUCUAGUCAUACUAACUGAGUGAAGGCAAAGGCUCGUGUCCGUCUCAGAUGGCCUAAGGUGUCGGGAUACGAUCUACUACUUAUAUCGAUUAGGGGAUACGAAGAACUAGAUUAGUGGCUCGAUUUUCAUUUUACCGAUCUCUUUGCAUCACAUCUCAUUGUUAAUAUUGUUACAUUGUUAUUACUACUGUUGUCACUAUUAUUGUUGUUAUGAAUAUUGAUUAUUCUGAACACUGUAAUUGUAUAAUAUGAUAUGUCACAAAGUUUAUAAAAAUAAACUAUUUAUACUGUA